rnacentral:rRNA from 1 species
GUUAGGAAUAUUGGACAAUGGGCGAAAGCCUGAUCCAGCCAUGCCGCGUGAACGAUGAAGGCCUUCGGGUUGUAAAGUUCUUUAGCCGAUGAUUAUAAUGACUGUAGUCGGAAAAUAAGCCCCGGCUAACUUCGUGCCAGCAGCCGCGGUAAUACGAAGGGGGCGAGCGUUAUUCGGAAUCACUGGGCGUAAAGCGUGCGUAGGCGGUCUCGUAAGUUAGGAGUGAAAGCCCAGGGCUCAACCUUGGAAUUGCUCUUAAAACUGCAAGGCUAGAAUCUCGGAGAGGAUAGCGGAAUUUCCAGUGUAGCAGUGAAAUGCGUAGAUAUUGGAAGGAACACCAGUGGCGUAAGCGGCUAUCUGGACGAGUAUUGACGCUGAGGCACGAAAGCGUGGGGAUCAAACAGGAUUAGAAACCCCGGUAGUCC